GACGAACGCUGGCGGCGUGCUUAACACAUGCAAGUCGAGCGGUAAGGCCCUCGGGUACGACGAGCGGCGAACGGGUGAGUAACACGUGGGUGACCUGCCUCUAGCUCUGGGAUAAGCCUGGGAAACUGGGUCGUAAUACCGGAUAUGACUCCACGGCGCAUGUUGUGGGGUGGAAAGCCUUGUGUGGCUAGAGAUGGGCCCGCGGCCUAUCAGCUUGUUGGUGGGGUGAUGGCCUACCAAGGCGACGACGGUAGCCGGCCUGAGAGGGCGACCGGCCGACACUGGGACUGAGACACGGCCCAGACUCCUACGGGAGGCAGCAGUGGGGAAUCUUGCGCAAUGGGCGAAAGCCUGACGCAGCGACGCCGCGUGA
rnacentral:rRNA from 1 species